rnacentral:lncRNA from 1 species
GGCACCCCCUCCAUUUAAUAAAAAAACAAGGAAGAGAAAAGGGGAUUAAUCCCAGGAGGUGAAAAACCCUCAUCUUCAUCUUCUCUCACGCGGUGGCCCAAGAGGUGGAAUCCGUCUUCUUCCUCGGUGCCGACGGUCCAGACGCGGGAAUGGAGGGAGCCACGGUGAUAGCCGAAGGUUCUGAUGGUGGCGGUUUAUGGUGGUUCACGGUGGUCCAAUAGCGGUGGUGGUUUGCGAUGGCUUUCUGAUUCGAGGCUUCCCUUCUCACGAUGCAACAAGAUGAGUCUCUGUCCAAGAGGGCACACGAUGCCCCUGAGACCCAUUACAUCACUUCACAUGCUUGAUUAGGUUUUGGGACCUAUCCCUCAAUCAUGGAAUCACAGAUCCGCGGGAAAUCGGU